GGAGCCCAAAUCAGCUAUCGCAGAAAUAGAAAAAAAGAGUGGAUCAGCAAUAAACAAUCAGCUUCUAAAAGUAAAAACAAAAGUUGUGAAAGCUGCCGUACGAAAUAAAUUAUCCUUGCCAUCAAUUUUGCAUACCAUGAAUUGAUAAUCUCCGUGUGAGUCGUAUCCGCAACAUUUAAAUUUGAACUUCGAAAAAGGAACAUACCUACAAAAUAUGUGGACCGUGAACAAGCCGCUGCAAUUUCUGUUACAAUACAAUCCAAUUUUAAAGAACUGCAGAAACAGAGUCUACAGGAGGAAGUUAUUGGCUGAUACCAGAAAACAAAAUUUAAGAAAAUUAUCAAAAUUGUUCGAUUUUUACGGAAAAUCGUCGCAUUCAACAUGGAAAAAUAAUGAGCUAAAUCGACCCACAUUUCCUAAGGAUCCAUCGAUCCGUCGAAAUAAUCUGCCUUUGAUGUUUGUUCGAAUGGUACUGGAUGUGUAGUUAAUGUUGCUGUGAGAGUUACAUUCAUUGAAAAGGGAAAUAAGAAGAAUCGGAAUAACUAUGUUUUUACUAAUGCGGAAAACGUAAAAAACUAUGAAAUGUAGUCUGAUAGUGAAUAUUUAUAUGUGAUUCGAAUUUAUAACGUAAUAAUAUACAAUCUCUGAUUAAUAUGCAUUUCCCAAAUAAUUUUAACUUUAUUUAUGUUUCUCCCUCCACUUAUUUUUGUCCAAUUCACCAUCGACGUAGGGAUAAAGCAACUUUUUUGGGAAAACUUCUGAAUGAACAUGAUAGAUCGAACUGUUGCCAAUUAAGAAAGGUUCUUUGAUGUUCCAAAACUAAAGGGUUUGCGUUUGACAACUCUGGUUCAAGGAAAGCUGGUGCUGAAAUUUAACUUUCAAUUAAUAAAAUAUUCUCCUAAUAUUAUUUUCUUAUGUACUUACUUAUGUAAUGUUCUUUCCUCAUUCCAUUUUUUUUCCAAUAGCCGGCGACGGUAAUAAAUUUUCUUAGAG